rnacentral:rRNA from 1 species
UACGAAGGGGGCUAGCGUUGCUCGGAAUCACUGGGCGUAAAGGGCGCGUAGGCGGGCUCUUAAGUCAGGGGUGAAAGCCCAAGGCUCAACCUUGGAAUUGCCUUUGAUACUGAGGGCCUUGAGACCGGAAGAGGUCGGCGGAACUGCGAGUGUAGAGGUGAAAUUCGUAGAUAUUCGCAAGAACACCAGUGGCGAAGGCGGCCGACUGGUCCGGUUCUGAC